rnacentral:rRNA from 1 species
AUUGAACGCUGGCGGCAUGCCUAACACAUGCAAGUCGAACGGGGCAGCAAUGCCUAGUGGCGGACGGGUGAGGAAUACGUAGGAAUCUGCCCUUAAGUGGGGGAUAACCAGGGGAAACCCUGACUAAUACCGCAUGAUCUCUUCGGAGCAAAGAAGGGGACCGCAAGGCCUCUCGCUUUUGGAUGAGCCUACGUCUGAUUAGCUAGUUGGUUGGGUAAAGGCCUACCAAGGCGACGAUCAGCAACUGGUCUGAGAGGAUGAUCAGUCAAACCGGAACGGAGACACGGGACGGAAUCGUACGGGAGGAAGAAGUGGGGAAUAGUGGACAAUGGGCACAAGCAUGAACCAGCAAGGCCGCGUGUGCGAAGAAGGACUUAGGGUUGUAAAGCACUUUAGCCUGGAAAGAAAAAACUUUGGUUAACACCCAAAGUCUUGACGGUACCAGGAGAAUAAGCACCGGCUAACUCUGUGCCAGCAGCCGCGGUAACAC